rnacentral:rRNA from 1 species
CACUAGUGAAUAAGGGGUGGGCAAGUUCUGGUGUCAGCCGCCGCGGUAAAACCAGCACCUCAAGUGGCCAGGAGGAUUAUUGGGCCUAAAGCAUCCGUAGCCGGCUCUGUAAGUUUUCGGUUAAAUCCAUGUGCUCAACGCAUGGGCUGUCGAAAAUACUGCAUAGCUAGGAAGUGGGAGAGGUAGACGGCACUCGGUAGGAAGGGGUAAAAUCCUUUGAUCUAUCGAUGACCACCUGUGGCGAACGCGGUCUACCAGAACACGUUCGACGGUGAGGGAUGAAAGCUGGGGGAGCAAACCGGAUCUGAUACCCGGGUAGUCCCAGCUGUAAACGAUGCAGACUCGAUGAUGCAUUGGCAUAUAGCCAGUGCAGUGUCGCAGGGAAGCCGUUAAGUCUGCCGCCUGGGAAGUACGUACGCAAGUAUGAAACUUAAAGGAAUUGGCGGGGGAGCACCACAAGGGGUGAAG